UCUAACUAACUGCCUUGACGUUUUUAAACACAGCAAGGUAAAUGUUUUAUUUUGUGACAUGCAGUGCUCAAGAGGUUACAGUUUAACACUUGACUGGAAUGGGAACAAGCCCUUUGGUGUUUUCUGAAGAAAAAGAAAUGCACACCAUGAACUGAGAAGUUCUCCGGGACACACGGCGUCAUGGAAAAAUCUCAUCUGUCGGCUGUUUGGAGAAAUUGGAAAUGGAAGCUGGUGGGAGAUGUGAGAGUGAAUCAAAGUCGUCCAGGGAGCUGAGGGUUGGGGUCUCCUCUGAGCUUUUUACUACUGAAGCAUCCAGCCAAAGCCAGCAAUUACCCAGCAGUCCCUGCACCCCCAGUGCCAGCAAGCCUCAUCUUCACCAAUUAGCGUAGAGGGUGAUCUUCUACAUGCUGUUUUGAUCAAACAGUGAGAUGCUGCAGAGGCUGCAAAAUGUGUCUGAGGAGCUGCUAAUGAAAGAAUACAAGACACGAUUAAUUCUUGAUAAUGUUAAUCAGCAAAUCGGCGAGUGCUCUCUGUCUUUUUCUCUCUCUCUCUCUCUCACUCAGCAGUGCCACAGGAGUCCCACAGGCGUCCACGCCUCAGCAGGAGUUACGAAAACACUGGAGACGCACUAAUGACUGCAAAGCUACACACCCGUCCCGCGUUAUGAACCGGGCACAAUUGCUGAGGCAGCAGCAGCAGGGAAAAAACAAAUUGGCACAAUCACACUGCAGAUGCUGUUGAUGUGACAAUCAAGCAUGAGGGCGAGGGCGCUGCUGUCGAUCGACGCUCCACUUGGACGCAAGAUCCAAUUUUGGUGGCCGCAUCAUCUCUGCUGGAGUUACAAUAGCGGCGGAGCUCGUCGAUGGCUUCAGCGCCGGUGGAGCGGUUGCCCUUUCUGCGUGGAUGUGCGGCAGGAGGCCGCUUCCCUCAGCUGAAGGUAACAAGGUAUGACUCAAGUGAAAGUACAAGAGCUACAGGGAUCAAAGAUCUCCAACAAGUCUGGCCCGAUGAAAGGUCAGGGCUGUUCAAUCAGAGUGAACAGUGAACUGAGCCGCAACAUCACAGACGUGUUUGAGGGGGAGAUUUCAAAGAGAAUUUCCUUUGCCUCUUAAAUCUGCUUUUGAGGACACUUUCAUAAAAAAUGAACGCACUUUUGUAGCACACAAAUGAUCAACAAACCUCUGACCUUUGCAUCACUUAUUAAAGGUACAUUGCAUUAAAUGUUGCCACAUUUGUUGGUGAAGUUCCCAGUAUGGGUGGCACGAUACCACUUUUUCCAUGUCCAAUACCGAUAUCUCAAACUCGAUACCAAUAUCAGUGUGAUACAGUCAUUUAAGCUGUAAACAACACAUUUUUGCCAUUUGUAGAACAAAUAUU